rnacentral:lncRNA from 1 species
GAUGAGGUACAUUGCUAGUCAGCUGGAGAACAAGAUUCGUAUUGUUGCCCUGUCAAGUUCUCUUGCAAAUGCCAAGGAUUUGGGAGAAUGGAUUGGCGCUACAUCCCACGGUCUUUUCAAUUUCCCUCCUGGUGUUAGGCCUGUACCUUUGGAAAUUCACAUCCAAGGUGUUGACAUCGCUAAUUUUGAAGCAAGGAUGCAAGCCAUGACAAAACCUACAUACACAGCAAUUGUGCAGCAUGCUAAGAACGGUAAACCUGCCAUUGUAUUUGUUCCUACCAGGAAGCAUGCCCGUAUGACUGCGGUGGACUUGAUGACUUAUUCAAGUGUGGAUAGUGAACAAAAACCCUUGUUCUUAUUUACAGUCUUCAGAAGAGUUGGCUCCCUUUGUUGCCAACAUAAAGGAACCUAUGUUGAAGGAGACUAUUCAGUUUGGUGUGGGUUAUUUGCAUGAAGGCCUAAGCAGUACAGAUCAGGAUAUAGUAAGACAUUGUUGAACAGGUUGCAUUCAAGUCUGUGUGAUGAGCAGUACAAUGUGUUGGGGAGUCCCACUUUCUGCUCAUCUGGUAGUGGUUAUGGGAACACAGUACUAUGAUGGCAGAGAAAAUGCUCAUAGUGAUUAUCCAGUCACUGAUUUACUGCAGAUGAUGGGUCAUGCCAGUCGACCGCUAGUAGACAAUUCUGGAAAAUGCGUCAUCCUCUGUCAUGCCCCACGCAAAGAAUAUUACAAGAAAUUCCUCUAUGAAGCUUUCCCGGUUGAAAGCCAUUUGCAUCAUUAUCUGCAUGAUAAUCUAAAUGCCGAGGUGGUGGUUGGGGUCAUCCAAAACAAGCAGGAUGCCGUGGACUACCUGACUUGGACAUUUAUCUAUAGAAGGCUGACUCAGAACCCAAACUAUUACAAUCUUCAAGGUGUCAGUCACAGGCAUCUCUCAGAUCACCUGUCCGAGCUCGUGGAGAGCACCAUCAGUGAUCUAGAAGCGAGUAAAUGUGUUGAAGUUGAGGAUGACUAUUUACUGGCCCCUGCAAAUCUUGGCCUGAUUGCUUCUUAUUACUAUAUUAGUUACACAACAAUUGAGCGCUUCAGUUCCUCUCUGACUUCUAAAACAAAGAUGAAGGGUCUCUUGGAAAUCUUGGCUUCAGCCUCAGAGUACGAGCAGCUUCCAAUAAGACCUGGAGAAGAAGAGUUGAUAAGAAGGUUAAUACAUCAUCAGCGCUUCUCCUUUGAAAAUCCCAAGUACACGGAUCCAAAUGUCAAAGCAAAUGCUCUACUGCAAGCUCAUUUCUCCAGGCAGACAAUUGGUAGGAGUAUUUGUCUUCUGACCAGCAGGAGGUGCUUAUCUAUGCAAGCAGGCUUCUUCAGGCCAUGGUUGAUGUAAUUUCGAGCAAUGGCUGGCUCAGCCUGGCCCUUCUUGCCAUGGAAGUAAGUCAGAUGGUAACUCAGGGAAUGUGGGAGCGCGAUUCAAUGCUCCUCCAACUUCCUCACUUCACCAAGGAAUUGGCUAAGAGGUGCCAGGAAAAUCCUGGGAAAAAUAUUGAGACAAUCUUCGAUCUGCUGGAAAUGGAGGAUGAUGAAAGGCGGGAGCUAUUGCAAAUCUCCGAUACACAGUUGAUGGACAUUGCUCGGUUUUGUAAUCGCNGAAGAAGAAUUGGAGAGGUCUGGAUGAGGUAGUUGAUUAACUGGGAGACUGCAACAGACUUGAAACUUCUCGAGAAAGGUCAAAUAAUCAUAAGCACUCCUGAGAAAUGGGAUGCUUUAUCUCGCCGAUGGAAACAAAGGAAGCAUGUUCAGCAGGUUAGUGUGUUCAUUAUUGAUGAACUUCAUUUGAUUGGAGGUCAAGGUGGGCCUAUCCUGGAGGUCGAUAGUCUCUAGGAUGAGGUACAUUGCUAGUCAGCUGGAGAACAAGAUUCGUAUUGUUGCCCUGUCAAGUUCUCUUGCAAAUGCCAAGGAUUUGGGAGAAUGGAUUGGCGCUACAUCCCACGGUCUUUUCAAUUUCCCUCCUGGUGUUAGGCCUGUACCUUUGGAAAUUCACAUCCAAGGUGUUGACAUCGCUAAUUUUGAAGCAAGGAUGCAAGCCAUGACAAAACCUACAUACACAGCAAUUGUGCAGCAUGCUAAGAACGGUAAACCUGCCAUUGUAUUUGUUCCUACCAGGAAGCAUGCCCGUAUGACUGCGGUGGACUUGAUGACUUAUUCAAGUGUGGAUAGUGAACAAAACCCUUGUUCUUAUUACAGUCUUCAGAAGAGUUGGCUCCCUUUGUUGCCAACAUAAAGGGAACCUAUGUUGAAGGAGACUAUUCAGUUUGGUGUGGGUUAUUUGCAUGAAGGCCUAAGCAGUACAGAUCAGGAUAUAGUAAAGACAUUGUUUGAAACAGGUUGCAUUCAAGUCUGUGUGAUGAGCAGUACAAUGUGUUGGGGAGUCCCACUU